UUCCAGACUCCUACGGGAGGCAGCAGUGGGGAAUAUUGCACAAUGGGGGAAACCCUGAUGCAGCGACGCCGCGUGAGUGAAGAAGUAAUUCGUUAUGUAAAGCUCUAUCAGCAGGGAAGAAAAUGACAGUACCUGACCAAGAAGCCCCGGCUAACUACGUGCCAGCAGCCGCGGUAAUACGUAGGGGGCGAGCGUUAUCCGGAUUCACUGGGCGUAAAGGGAGCGCAGGCGGCACGGCAAGUCCGGUGUGAAAGCCCGGGGCCCAACCCCGGGACUGCACUGGAAACUGCCGGGCUGGAGUGUCGGAGGGGCAGGCGGAAUUCCUAGUGUAGCGGUGAAAUGCGUAGAUAUUAGGAGGAACACCGGUGGCGAAGGCGGCCUGCUGGACGACGACUGACGCUGAGGCUCGAAAGCGUGGGGAGCAAACAGGAUUAGAUACCCGCGUACA
rnacentral:rRNA from 1 species